CCUACGGGUGGCUGCAGUGGGGAAUAUUGGGCAAUGGGCGCAAGCCUGACCCAGCAACGCCGCGUGAAGGAUGAAGGUUUUCGGAUUGUAAACUUCUUUCGCGAGGGACGAAGAAUUACGGUACCUCGUAAGAAAGCCCCGGCUAACUACGUGCCAGCAGCCGCGGUAAUACGUAGGGGGCAAGCGUUGUCCGGAAUUACUGGGCGUAAAGGGAGUUUAGGCGGCUCAGCAAGUUAGAUGUGAAAUCCCUCGGCCUAACCGCUGAACUGCAGACAAAACUGGUAAGCUGGAGUGCAGGAGAGGUGAGUGGAAUUCAUGGUGUAGCGGUGGAAUGCGUAGAUAUUAGGAGGAACACCAGAGGCGAAGGCGACUCACUGGACUGUAACUGACGCUGAGGCUCGAAAGCGUGGGGAGCAAACAGGAUUAGAUACCCCGGUAGUC
rnacentral:rRNA from 1 species